rnacentral:rRNA from 1 species
AUUGAACGCUGGCGGCAGGCUUAACACAUGCAAGUCGAGCGGAGCGAGGGUGCUUGCACCUUAGCUUAGCGGCGGACGGGUGAGUAAUGCUUAGGAAUCUGCCUAUUAGUGGGGGACAACAUUCCGAAAGGAAUGCUAAUACCGCAUACGCCCUACGGGGGAAAGCAGGGGAUCUUCGGACCUCGCGCUAAUAGAUGAGCCUAAGUCGGAUUAGCUAGUUGGUGGGGUAAAGGCCUACCAAGGCGACGAUCUGUAGCGGGUCUGAGAGGAUGAUCCGCCACACUGGGACUGAGACACGGCCCAGACUCCUACGGGAGGCAGCAGUGGGGAAUAUUGGACAAUGGGCGGAAGCCUGAUCCAGCCAUGCCGCGUGUGUGAAGAAGGCCUUUUGGUUGUAAAGCACUUUAAACGAGGAGGAGGCUACUUAGAUUAAUACUCUGGGAUAGUGGACGUUACUCGCAGAAUAAGCACCGGCUAACUCUGUGCCAGCAGCCGCAGUAA